rnacentral:sRNA from 1 species
AGGGGGUGAUCUACUAAACCAUAUGAAUCCCUAAUGAAAAACUCAAUUCCUAACAAGAAACUACUCAGACAGAUUGAUUGAAAC